rnacentral:misc_RNA from 1 species
GCAUCUUCAUUGCUGAAGGAAGGCUCCCUCUCUGUGCAUGUUGCUGAUGGAAGGCUUGGCUGGCCGGAACUGGCUCCCUAUGAUGCGAUACAUGUCGGGGCAGCAGCACCUGAAAUCCCUCCAGCACUGAUCGAGCAGCUGAAACCCGGUGGCAGGUUGGUGAUUCCAGUUGGCACCGUCUUCCAGGAUCUCAAGGUGGUUGACAAGAAGCUGGAUGGCUCGAUUGAUGCUCGAACUGAGAUAUCGGUGCGCUAUGUCCCCCUGACAAGCCGUGAGGCUCAGUUGCGCAGGAAGAGAGAAAUUUGCAUCUGU